rnacentral:rRNA from 1 species
CAGUCGCCGCGGGAAUACGUAGGGUGCGAGCGUUAAUCGGAAUUACUGGGCGUAAAGCGUGCGCAGGCGGUUCGUUAAGACAGAUGUGAAAUCCCCGGGCUUAACCUGGGAACUGCAUUUGUGACUGGCGAGCUAGAGUAUGGCAGAGGGGGGUAGAAUUCCACGUGUAGCAGUGAAAUGCGUAGAGAUGUGGAGGAAUACCGAUGGCGAAGGCAGCCCCCUGGGCCAAUACUGACGCUCAUGCACGAAAGCGUGGGGAGCAAACAGGAUUAGAUACCCGUGUAGUCCCUGUCUCUUAUAA